ACCUUAGAGACCAACUAAGUUUGUUCUGGGUAUAAGCUUUGGUGUGAAGAAGUCUGCAUGCACACGAAAGCUUAUACCCAGAACAAACUUAGUUGUUCUCUAAGGU